rnacentral:lncRNA from 1 species
GGGCGAGCCGACGCUGAACGACGACUUGCUCAUCGGUAAGAUUCUCAUGCUACUACCAGCACUGUCGUUGAGCAACGUGUAUCUCCAUGGUGCAUGGGCGACCUCGCCAGGGAGGAUGGGCUACCUCACCAAGGAGCAGCUAUCCGAAAAGCCAUGAUGCCGCUCCCCCAACAAAAUGUGAUCCAGGCUUCAAGCAAUGUCUGCACAUGAGGUCUUGAGCCACAUCACAACGUCCACGGACAAGUGAACAACAACCACAACUCCAGGGAUGACAUCAACACAGAAUGUGCUUCCGCUCGUUGUACAACACUCUGAAGCCCCAAGAAGAGCUGCGGGGAGCAUGGCAAAAGCUUCCUCUCCUUAGAGAAAAUAAAACAAGUUCUCUCACAAAAUAGUACUACGUAACUGAGUUCUUUGAGCUUUUAAUUCUCAUAAUCCAAUUCAUAGUUUGGCAUCAUUGCUUUCUUCAUAGUUAACUAACAAGGACAUUGCCAUCUAUAAAUACAAGAACAAAAUAAAUUGGUGCACAAUGCUACUGUAAUUUGGUAGUGGCUACCUGCUAGGUCAUGCUACUGUUGCUGAUGUAUAGAUGUGAUAUACAUGUAAAUGUCAUGCUACCGUCUUGAUGUAUAUAUCUAGAUGUGUUAAUGUGUAUGCAGUAGCGUGAAUUUGUUCAAAAAACUAUUAAAUAGGUGAAUGUGCGUGUACAUGUGUUAAAAUUUCAAUGUAUUUCGUUCUUUG